GUGGUAUUUCUGGAUCCUUACCAAGGCAGUGAUGGUAUAUGCCUUCUCUUAAAAUAUGUGGUAUUUGUGGUAUAAGGCAUAGUGACAUUGCCUUCUCUCUCACCCUACUCUAAUAAGGCUUUAAUAUCUGGAGCUCAUAGGUGGGAGAUAAAGUAUACAUACUUACAAGACAUUUAUUGUAUAGUCAAACCAUGGAUCCAAAGAAACAAAUCAAUAAGCCAAAUCAAGAUGUGCAUGUGUGGCGAAUGAAUGGUGUAUGGUGAUGAUGGUGAUAACAAUGGUGAAAGUCUAAUUCUACCUUUGCUCUUUUGAGGGGAUACAUACCUUCCUUGCUUUUUGAAACUUUAUGAGGAGAAUGAGAUGCUCUUCUUUUUCUUUCCUCUCAGGUGGGUAUCUUGUACCCCUAAUUCUACUGCCGGACACUUGUCUAUUUUUACCUCUCGUCUCACUUUUUCUUUCUUUCGAGGUUCCGGGCACUUGCCCCUUUUUAUUUCCUCGUUUAUUAUUAUUAUUAUUAUUUUUCUUUUCUUCUCUUUUCUUAUUUUUCAGAGCACUCAUCUCCUGAAAUAAUGUAGCAAGUGGUAGUAACCAAAAUAACUGGAGCAUUUAUUUCACAGGGAAUAACAGGGAUAGGAAAAUGUUUUUGGCUAUUCUCUCCCGGAUUAGGAGUAGAAUGAUUUUGGGUGAAACUGGAGAUGGAAAUGGAUGGAUAUAUGUGGAUGGUACUGUUGACUGUCCUUAAGUAUCAAAUUUAAUUAUCAAAUAAACAAAGAAAAGGAUCUAAAUGAAAUCAACAUCUAGACUUAGGGUUUUAUCUGACAGAAUUCCACAAGUUUUGGUGUUUGUCUAUUUCUGCAGGGGGUUAUCAGGAAAUAUGAAAGAAAGGCCCACACGUCGGGUUUACAUAGAGAUAUUAACGUGCCGCACAAUUUUCUACCAUCUAGAAGACUCCAGAAGCCACGGGAACGAACGGGAGGCCGAUCGGGCCCGGGAGCAGGGCGCCCGCCCAAGUCCCUUGGGUGCCCGCCCAGCUACAGUAACCAAUCAUCUUCAACUUCGCGGAUCAUGCUCCACCGACCUAAUACUUUAAGGAAAACCACACGAUCAAUGUCGGUUUGAUCCGACGGCCCAGAUUCAUCUGAAAAGACUAUAUAACCAGACCCCCUGGCCCUUGGAGGAGGCACCCCUUGAUCAUUAUUCAUUAUUCAUAGACAGAGCAAAAGCUAGGGUUUAGAGAUGAGAGCUCUCCUCUCUUCUCUAAACUAGAGUAGAUCUAGAUAGUAGCAAGAUGGAGAGCGAAGGAGGAUUAGAGGAGAGGCCGGCCUGUCGGUUCUUCCUCCGGUUGUACUUCGUCAUGAUCAAGCUCUAAUCAAGCUUGCUCAUGGGAUGACUCUGGUAAUCUACUUCUAAUUCAUUAUGCAGUUACUAAUUAUGUAUGUUCUGGUUCACAACUCUUUUGAGUACUUCUAAUCUAUAGGACGCUAUAGGUUAGAGUUGUAGUAUAGGUGUAAGCGAGGUGCUUAGAUCUAGAUUACUUGUGGAUAUCCCCUGUCUAGCUGGAUCGUGUGGUAGGCCGCGUAGGUGACAGUUACGUUGGACCUCUGUAGUCCACCUCUCGUUAGCAGGACGGGUAGGGUUUAUCGGCCUAAGGAUAAGCAUCCUUUGUAGUGUACUCUUAUCACGUGGUUCAUCCCAGACAUAGACAUACCCCUUUGAAGUAGAGAAACCAUAGUUAUCCUCUCUAUUCUGCUACCAUCACCCAUAUACUAGAUUGCUCUACUCUCUAUUCCCAUAUUAUCAUUCACUGUUAUCUUACCUUUAAUAUUAUUCUUAUUUAAUUCUACCAUCUUUCCUAUUUACACCUAUCUAUCUAUCUUGGUUAAGUUAGAGCGUAGUUGGUUCUCCCGUUUCCCUGUGGAUACGAUAAAACCUUUAACCGGGUAAAAGCUUCAACGGUAUCCGUGCGCUUGCGGAUUAUCUGUGUGCGUAUAAAUACCAUAGUACACUCUAGUGCCAUGCUGGGGAUGACAACCUAGUAUUCAAGUGGUGUUAGCAAGUGUCAACAAGCAUUUUUGGCGCCGUUGCCGGGGAAACGGUUGCUGAGUUGACUACGAAGUAGCUUAAUCAUUUUCUAAAAUAAGGAAUAAAAAUAAAAAAAUUAUUUUCCUUUUGUCCUUUGCCUCAUCUCUGCUAAUCUUUCUUCUUAUCUAAUCCUUGAUCUCUGGUCUAUCAUGAAUUCAAACAUGUCUAUCUAUGAAUUUCAUAGACCUACGGGCACACAUCUCGAACCACCAAAAUCUUCAACGCCUAUCAUAGCAUCUAGUUUUGAGAUAGACCCCGAAUACAUAGAAUUUGUUCAAAAACAACCUAUCAUAGCAUCUAGUUUUGAGAUAGACCCCGAAUACAUAGAAUUUGUUCAAAAACAACCUUUCUCAGGAGAAGGUGAGGAAAACCCAUACACACACCGAAGAGAGUUUUAUCGAGUCUGUGACCUCCUUCGCAUAGAAGGAAUGUCCGAUGAGACCCUUAAAUGGAAGCUCUUUCCGUUCUCUUUAACGGGAAAAGCUAGACAUUGGUACAAACUUAAAAUAGGGAGUGUUCAUGGAUAUUGGAAGGAGUUACAUAAUAGUUUUCUUUUAAAAUAUUUUCCAAUCUCCAAAGUGGCGGAACUUCGGCGUGAGAUUAUUUCUUUUAGACAACUGGAAGAAGAAUCUCUUAGGAAAUCAUGGGACCGCUUUAUUAACCUUACUCUCACUGGCCCAAAGCUUUCUAUUCCAGAAGAAGUUCUUCUAAUUCACUUUUUUGGGGGCCUUAGUAGGGAAAAUAAGCAAACCUUGAAUACAGCCUCUAGAGGAUCCUUCUAUCACCUACCUGCUAGUGAAGCUUGGAAUUUGAUUGAUUUAUUAAGUGGAAAGUCUCCUAGCUUUUAUAUCCCUGAGAAAGAGACAGAACUAGUUCCUAGACAAGAAGAAGAAGUUUCGAUAGCCAGAUCACAAGCACUUCAAUUCCAAACUUUAGCUAUCGAUCCUAAACCAUCAAUACCCCAAAAUUCUCCAAGGGAGGAAGGAAUUCCGACCUUAAAUCUUUCAGAUGCAGAUGGUUUAGACUUCUGGUUCCAUAAGAGACCUUCAAGCAGGGAUAAUUGAAAUCCUCGCAAUAAUGGUUCUCUUAGAGAAUGUCCUGGUUCCUGUUAUGAAGAAGUCGAGGAUGACACAUCAAGUAAAGGAGAGCUAAGCCAUAUUGAAAAUUCUAACACCUCCCCUUUCCUGAUCACAAGUUCUAAAUGGCUAGAAUGUGUAGAAUGGAUGGAUAAGGAAGAAGCCUUAAUGAAUUCUGACUUUGGUUCAAUUUCAAAUGGUGAGUUCUUGACUCCCUUUGAAGAUGGGAUUCAUCCAACUAUAGAAGAGGACACAAGUGAGACCAAUCCAAGAGGAACUCUGAACAUUCAGAUUGGAGACGAAGAUAACAUUAAUGAGCAUGGAAUUUAUUUCAUAGCCACUUUGUUUACUCCAUGCUCAUAUGCAACAUCUUCCCAAUCUAUUGGUCUCUCCAACAUCACCACAUUUGAGAUCUCCAACCCCCUCUUCCUUUCUAUUUAUAAAAACUUUAAAAGGGCGGUUGUCGAUGCAUAUGUCUAUAAUAAAUAUUGCAGAUCUCGUUGAGUUGAUCUUGAUAUAGGUCAGCGUUGGAAGGGAAACCACUUCGCCGACAUAAAUUGAUGGUUUCCCAAGGACAAGCUUAGUGUCUUAAAAUAAGCACUGAUCAGAUCAUAACAUGAGUUUUUAAUUAUUUGCAACAUUACCUUGUGUAUUGAGCAUAUAAGGAUAAUUGUAAAAAUAUUCCUUCGGGUAUUCUUGUCACUAACCUUUCCAGGAUUGGAAUAAGAAGAUCAGAUGAAUGACAAGCAAGCAUAAGGUAUGUCCAACCAAUCAUCAUGCAACACUGAAUUAAAUUCAUCCAAACUUGAAUUCUGCAAAGUUCAAGCUUGGGGGAGUACUUUACAUAAAAACAUCCUUUGCCAUGUUGCUAUGUUGGUUGUCCCUACCCUUAAGACAUGCUCAAUUUGUUAAAUACUAAUCACACUACUUCAUCUCCACUUGAGUGGAUCUCUAUAAAUGCUGUCAUGUUACCUUUGUCUAUUUACUAGUAAGUGUUAGUUUGGAAGUACUGCACAUACUUCUAUUGACUUUUAAAUUAAGCAUGGUGCUUAGGUUUAAACAGCCUUCCUUAAUCUGAUAGACAUGGAGUCUAGUUUGGUUAUUGAACUAAAAACUGCUUGUGUAGACAUUGGUAUAUUUUUGUCGGACUAACCCCUGCAGAAAAACUUUCAAUAUUGAUUUGGAAAGUCCUGAGAUAAACUCACAUCAGAGACGAAGAGAGUGACACAUGAAGUUUAACAAUUUGCACAAGAAGGACAUAGCUCAUUCAUCAUAGAGAGAUGAUCCAUGGAGAGUGCCACAAACACGAUGCACAACCGCUAAGAAAGGAAAACUUCCACAAGGUGAUACUGUACAAUCACUCUUCAAGCAAGGUAACAUCUUAAGGUACUUGACUAUCACUUUUAUAAGCUUCUCCUUGGUUCCGGCGUUCAUAUAAAUAAAAGAGACAAACAUGUAUGAUUUACAACUCUAGAUUAACCAACCCAACUGAUUCAACAUGUUUAGUCCUGUAAUCCUUGUUCUUAGUACUACCUCCAUGAUCCCACACUCCUAAUCAUAUGAGCUAAAAUGUUACACAUUCAAUCAUUGAGAGAUAUAAAGAAAAAGACAUAUACAUAGAUAGAUUAUCUUUCCAUAAGGUUGAGCGAUCUGAUCUGACAAAUGUUAUAAGUGCUACACUCAUGAACUUUUCAUCCAUCAACUUUGUCUUGCUCACUAUGCUUAGGGUUAGAGAAGAAUAAAAACACUUUUGGUUCUGUUGGUGUUUUCCACCAACAGGACCCAUGCACUUGAUCUCUGCCUUGUCUCUAUGAGCAGGUACACUUCGAGCAAAACAUAGAGGAGUUUUAUAACUCUCAGACUCUACCAAGUGAAGGACCUGGAUCUACGAGUACAAACACAGUGAGCAGGAUACUGCCAACGCCGCACUUCGAACUGCUGGGCAAACGAAGAGGUGCAGACGUCAAGGUCCGCACCUGAAUCAAAUGACGCACCUGAAGAAUGAACACAGUGAGAAGUCUUGUUAAGAAGACUUAAAACAUUGAACCCUCGCCGAAAGGUAAGAUCGGUAGUUAUCCAUAUUUAUCCUUUCUGCAUUCCCUUUUCCCUUUAAUUAUUUACUUUCCUUAAAUAGAUUAUUAGUUAAUCAUGCUAUCUUGAAAAGAAAAUAAAAAUGUUAAAAAAAUACUAAGCCCCAUGUGAGUAUACGAGUGGCAUAAAACCCAUAAGUACCUUCACUGUGGUGGCAUAAAAAUAAAAUAAAUAUUUCUUUUCUGCUUUAUAAAAUAAAAAUACAAAAAUAGGGAGUAAUAUUUAUUGAGGAAGCUCAACAUGAUAAAGGCUAGAUAUUUAUGCUAACACUUAAUUAGUUCCACAAGCUUUGUUGUCUAUUUGAGCUCCACAGAAUUUAAGAAUCAAGAAGACUAGCAGACGGAGGACAUUCUAAUCGCUGUCAGAAUGCUGCUGACUUUCAAAUACACCUCUGCAACCUGCUAGCAACAUCAAGAGAAAUUACGUCAAAAUUCAGCUUGGAGGAGAGCACCCCCAUUUAUCUCGCUAAGUAUUUCUACCUAUCUUUAUACUUAUAUUAUAUUAGAAUAUUAAAAUACAUAAACUAUGAAAAACCUAAUAAAGAUUUUGUGCUUAUAUAUAUAUCUUUUGAUUAGUGUGUUUAAUAAAUAAAGUGGCUAUGCUAAUCUGAAUCUUAAUAAUAAAACUCUAGCAUGGAUAUGAUGAAUAGUUGCUCUGCCUAAUUUGCAAAUUUAAAGUUCUUUCUCAAGUUUAGACAUAACUGUUAUAAUUUAAAGCUUGCUCUAGAUCUAAACUUGUGGGAUGAAAACUUGAUCUGAAAUCUAAGUUGUUAACGGAUAUGAUAUGGGAAGGUUGAGCUGCUGUUUAUCUGUUCCUUGAGAUGCUAGAAUUCUGGAGAAUUUUAUCUUUGAAAAAUCUUUAAAAUAUUGCGUGAUGAGUUCCUAUAUGAUGAGAGUUUAAAUUCCUACCAUAGCCAUAUAUACAUGCUUGCUAGACUUUGAGCCACACAUUUAUUAUUUACUGCUUAUGAGCAUUGAGUGUGGUCAAGCUGUGUAAACCCUUAGGAGCUUGUCAUGUGGUUAAAUCAAGAUUCACUUGCACGUUCACUCAUAUAUGCUACUUCUACUCUGGAAGUACCAUCCACAUCCAUCUCCAGAACCACCCAAAAAUAUUCUACUCCUAAUCCGGGAGAGAAUAGCCAAAAAUAUUUCUGUUUUCCCUUGUGAAAUAAAUGCUCAAGUUAUCUUGCUACUACCACUUGCUAUAUUAUCUCAAGAGAUGAGUGCUCUAAAAAAGAAGAGAGAAAAGAGAAGAAAAAAAAUAAAAAAAACAAGGAAAUAAAAAGGGGCAAGUGCCCGGAACCUCGAAAGAAAGAAAAAGUGAGACGAGAGGUAAAAAUGGACAAGUGUCCGACAGUAGAAUUAGGGGUACAAGAUACCCACCUGAGAGGAAAGAAAAAGAAGAGCAUCUCAUUCUCCUCAUAAAGUUUCAAAAAGCAAGGAAGGUAUGUAUCCCCUCAAAAGAGCAAAAGUAGAAUUAGACUUUCACCAUUGUUAUCACCAUCAUCACCAUACACCAUUCAUUCACCACACAUGCACAUCUUGAUUUGACUUAUUGACUUGUUUCUCUGGAUCCAUGGUUUGACUAUACAAUAAAUGUCUUGUAAGUAUGUAUACUUUAUCUCCCACCUAUGAGCUCCAGAUAUUAAAGCCUUAUUAGAGUAGGGUGAGAGAGAAGGCAAUGUCACUAUGCCUUAUACCACAAAUACCACAUAUCUUGAGAGAAGGCAUAUACCAUCACUGCCUUGGUAAGGAUCCAGAAAUACCACAAAAGAGAGAUUUAGAGAGUCAUACAAGGAAUCUCUGAGUUUUAUUUGAAAAUCUGCAAAAACUCCAGAGCUAUAGCUGAUCAAGAACAAGAGACAUGGCACUUGGCUAAACUGUUCUAUCUUUUAACUACUCAAGACAGAAGUGACGGUUACAAGUCCCAUGGUGAAAGGUAAAGUAAGUAAGUUUUAGUUCUUGACAGUUUACUCUAACUCAGAGAUGAGAUCUUAUUUAAAAGCAUGUGUACCGUCAAAUUUUUAAGAUAUUGCAACAACUUCUGAUCCAUUGCUGAGUCUAUCCUUGCUCAGGGACGAGCAAGAGGUAAGCUUGGGGGAGUUUGUUGACUGUCCUUAAGUAUCAAAAUUAAUUAUCAAAUAAACAAAGAAAAGGAUCUAAAUGAAAUCAACAUCUAGACUUAGGGUUUUAUCUGACAGAAUUCCACAAGUUUUGGUGUUUGUCUAUUUCUGCAGGGGGUUAUCAGGAAAUAUGAAAGAAAGGCCCACAUGUCGGGUUUACAUAGAGAUAUUAACGUGCCGCACAAUUUUCUACCAUCUAGAAGACUCCAGAAGCCACGGGAACGAACGGGAGGCCGAUCGGGCCUGGGAGCAGGGCGCCCGCCCAAGUCCCUUGGGUGCCCGCCCAGCUACAGUAACCAAUCAGCUUCAACUUCGCGGAUCAUGCUCCACCGACCUAAUACUUCAAGGAAAACCACACGAUCAAUGUCGGUUUGAUCCGACGGCCCAGAUUCAUCUGAAAAGACUAUAUAACCAGACCCCCUGGCCCUUGGAGGAGGCACCCCUUGAUCAUUAUUCAUUAUUCAUAGACAGCGCAAAAGCUAGGGUUUAGAGAUGAGAGCUCUCCUCUCUUCUCUAAACUAGAGUAGAUCUAGAUAGUAGCAAGAUGGAGAGCGAAGGAGGAUUAGAGGAGAGGCCGGCC
rnacentral:lncRNA from 1 species